UCCGAGUUGACCCCGGCAGUCUCCCACGAGUCCCCACCAUUACGUGCUGGCAACAUAGGAUAAGGGUUGCGCUCGUUGCGGGACUUAACCCAACAUCUCACGACACGAGCUGACGACAGCCAUGCACCACCUGCACACAGGCCACAAGGGAACUGACAUCUCUGCCGGAAUCCUGUGCAUGUCAAGCCCAGGUAAGGUUCUUCGCGUUGCAUCGAAUUAAAGAACAUGCUCCGCUGCUUGUGCGGGCCCCCGUCAAUUCUUUUGAGUUUUAGCCUUGCGGCCGUACUCCCCAGGCGGAACACUUAACGCGUUGGCUGCGGCACAGGAGGAAGGUGGGGAUGACGUUUCUAGGAGGGUG
rnacentral:misc_RNA from 1 species